AGAGGGUGGUCACCCCGCUACAGUUGCCUAGUGGGAUUUACAACAGCACCUAAAUUCCUGGAUGUUUACUGGAACACCACUGGGUACCGUUGACAACAACUCCAGAGAGUACUAUGCCACUGAACUUCAAUUAGUAGUGAAAUAUAACCACCAACCCCUGAAUCAGUAUGCAGUGAUGACUCCUGCUGCUGGAAAGGCAUUUUGCAGAUGAUGAUGGAGGAAUUGCCCGGCACUCAGGGACUCUAUGGAUGAGACUCUGAUCUCUGUUACACCAGUGUAAAUCAAAAGCAGUGACUCUGAUUUCAGUGAUGUUUUCUCUGUUUCUCUGGAUAGAAUAUAACCAGAAGAGAUUGUGUAUUGCAUGUGAGUUUAUGCUGCUAAUGGCUUCACCCUCCACAUUAAAUUGG